rnacentral:rRNA from 1 species
UCCGUUGAUAUCGUGGGGAACACCAAAGGCGAAGGCAGCUUGCUGGGGCACAACUGACCCUGAAACACGAAAGCGUGGGGAUCAAAAAGGAUUAAGAGUGGCCACAAACAAGGAUACGAUGUAAAAAAUCGUAGGUGGCGCUAGUCCCCAUGCGCAGAGAUAUGCGCAUGGUUAAAAAAUUCAACUAUAUGCUGGAAAAUCCGAGUAUCUUUAAGUACUGCGAUUUAUCGCAGUGAAAAUCUUAAAGUGCGGACAAUCAGCAGGAAACUUCAAAAAGAACUAUUACUAAGAAAGGAGUGAAAACUAAUGCGUAAAAUAAAGAAGAGACCAAAGCGGAAGAUGAGACAGAAAAUGGAACGUACGGAAAGCAUUGAGAAUAGAUUCUCAAUAUAUUUUCAAGCUUGGGAUUCCAUACUCAAAGCGCUAAAGCCGCAAAAGGAACCAAAAGGCGGCUAUGUACGCAGUUCAGAAUACGAUCAUUGGUAAAGUUUUUAUUGAAGAAUCCUCAGAGACUAUACGUUGAACACAAGUUAAAUAAAUGGGCGAACGAGUUAAAACUUUAGUAGCCCAAGUAUUUUUCUUAUGAUGAUAUAGUCCGAACUCGCCAGCGAUGGCGAGAGACCGGCAGAAAUGUCCGGUCCAACUCAAGAACCCGCCAAAAGCUAACGCAUUUAGGCGGGCAAGUCGGUGCUAAUUUUUGGAAAAAAAAGAGGUUAUUUGUUUGACCUCUGAUUGAGAUAUGUCUUUAGCCAGAAUUUCCAGUUGAUCAUGACAUAGAAAACCAAUACGACAAGGAUGGCCUUACCUACUAUAAUGGGAAAUUCAUACAUAUAUUGUCCUCCUUCUGAUUAAAGUCUAGCAUAGAGACAUAUUUUUAUCAAGCUCUAAUCUUGACCCCGCAAAAAAGAGCGGGGCAGGCUCCAAAAAUUAGCAAGUUUAAAACUCAAAGGAAUAGACGGGGACUCGCACAAGCGGUGGAGCAUGUGGUUCAAUUCGAUGGUAAACGAAAAACCUCACCAGGGCUUGAAAUUCCGACGAUAAGUCCCGUGAAAGCGGGAUGUCUCACAAGGACGUCGGAACAGGUGCUGCAUGGCUGUCGUCAGUUCGUGGCUUGAGCUGUUCCCUUAAGUGGGGUAACGAACGCAACCCCUGCCCCGUGUUAUACGUGUCACGGGGGACUACUCUGAUUUUCGGAGGGGAAGGUGGGGAUGACGCCAAGUCAGCAUGGCCCUCUGAUGCCCUGGGCUACACACGUGCUACAAUGGGACGUACAAUGGGCCGCAAUACCGAGAGGUGGAGCUAAUCCCUUAAAACGUCCCCCAGUUCAGAUUGAGGUCUGCAACUCGACCUCAUGAAGACGGAAUCGCUAGUAAUCGCAGGUCAGCUAUACUGCGGUGAAUACGUUCUCGAGUCUUGUACUCAC